GGCGGAGGGAAGGGGAGCUUGUUUUCAUCUACUUUACAGACUUCAAAGAUUCUCAUUGCAAACGGUCUGAAGAGUGUUCAGGAAUAUAUCUUUUGGAAAACAGUGUACCUGUCAGAAUGGAUAAGUUAACAGCUGUCAGUGUCAUGGAUGAAUUGCAGCGCGAAUUCUGACUGAACGGAUAUAGACCGGAAAAUAAAGAGAAAAAAUGCAGUCACCCAGGAGACACACCAAAUGGUGAUUUUAAACUUAUGUCAGGAUCAGAGUUUGAUUUUGGAGCAACAGUGUUGUACACUUGCAAGAAAGGAUUUGAAAUGACAAGCAGAAUCAAUCAGCGUACCUGCAGAGCUCAAGGAUGGGAUAAUACUGUCCCUGUCUGUGAGGCUGUGAAAUGUCCAGCCAUUCGCACAAAUGCGUUUGUGAAUGCAUCAGGCAACACAGAAGAGGGAAGUUAUGGUGAUGUUAUCCACUUUGAGUGUGUAUCUUCUGACAAAAAGAUAGACGGAAGUAGUGACAUUCACUGCACAGAGACGGGCGAAUGGAGUGACUCUGUUCCAACAUGCAAAGGUUCAUUC